UGAACGCUAGCGGCAGGCUUAACACAUGCAAGUCGAGGGGCAGCGGGAUGUAGCAAUACAUUGCCGGCGACCGGCGGAUGGGUGCGUAACGCGUAUGCAACCUACCUUAGUACAGGGGAAUAACCUUUCGAAAGGGAGACUAACACCCCAUAGUAUUGAUUUAAGGCAUCUUAGAUUAAUUAAAUAUUUAUAGGUAUAAGAUGGGCAUGCGUAUGAUUAGCUAGUUGGUAAGGUAACGGCUUACCAAGGCGACGAUCAUUAGGGGUUCUGAGAGGAAGGUCCCCCACACUGGUACUGAGACACGGACCAGACUCCUACGGGAGGCAGCAGUGAGGAAUAUUGGUCAAUGGGCGCAAGCCUGAACCAGCCAUGCCGCGUGCAGGGAAAGGCGGCCUUAUGGGUUGUAAACUGCUUUUACAUAAGACUAACCGUAUAUUUGCGAAUAUACCCGGAUGUAUUAUGAGAAUAAGGAUCGGCUAACUCCGUGCCAGCAGCAGC
rnacentral:rRNA from 1 species